UCUAUGCUGACUCAUUUUUUUUCAGGUGACAUUAUCCUUGGGAAGCUCAUGCUGACACGUUGGGUACCAAGGCUCCAGCAUUCUGGUUCCUUCCGGGCUGAAGAGAUGAGCGCUGCAACAUGACAGACAUGUUAAUGGGAACAACAGAUUCUGUCUUCUAUCAGCCAUGGCCUGAUGGUGUGCUUUGGAUUUCUGAGUGAUGAGGUGGCCCAGGAAUAUUGAGGACUGUAAGCAUGGAACCUAUGUGGGGCUUGAGACUUCGCAACACACAAGUGCCUGUUAUCUGCUCUGUGAGAAGGUCUCCUUAUCUAAAAGGGUUUCCGCGGUGCAGCCUGCCUUCUGUUCCUAUGCAAAGCGGUGGCUGCUUAACCUGGAGAGCAGGUUUCCCUAUCAUGAUCCUGAUGCUGCUUGCUCAUACAAUCCCUCUUCUCUCUCUCCUUGACUGGACUCCUGGAGCUUGGCCUGGUGUUUGGCUGUGGAUCUCUGCAUCUGCUUCCAUCAGUUACUGGAGAAAGCCUCUAUGAUGACAGUUAGGUAUUCACCAAUCUGAUUACUGAGGACCUCUUCACCACUGCUCGAAGAGGCUCGUGUGAUGAUAGAAAUGUUCAGUCAUGGGCGCUGUGGGGUUGACAGCUUUAAAAUGUACUGCAUGCAGAAAAACACUCCAGUUGCUUUCAUAAAACAAGCUUUCUCAUCCUUAAAAUGACCUACUUCAUUGACUCAUCUCACCUUCCAGCUUUCCAGUCAUUAGGCUGCUGAAAUUGCAUCUCCGAGUCCAAAUGUCUAGACAGAAUCUACAGUUUAUUCUCCACAAUUCUCUUUCUACUUCUUUUUGCCUCAGAAAAUGCCACUACUCCUAAUGCAAUUUUCACAGCUCUAAUCUUAAAAUUUCAGAUGCAACAUGUUCAAGCUCCAGCAAAUCCUGUUGGAAUUACCUUCAAGAUAUUUUCUGCAUCUCUGUUCUCUUACUAUCUCCACCGUAACCACCUAAGUUCAAGGCAUGAUCAUCUAUCAGAAUAAAUUUAUUGAUUUCCUGCUAUAGCUGGAGUGUGUCCCCUGCCCCAACCACCUAAAGUGCGUGUUGAAGUCCUGACAUCCAGUGCCUUGGAAGGCAGUAGUAUUUAAAGGCAGACACUUUAAGAAAGGGACUAAUUUGACAUGUGGUUGAGUGGGCACUAACCCUAUGUAACUGAUGUCCUUAAAAGAAGAGGAAGUUAGUAUGAAGACAACUGAGCAGUACAGCCAACCCAAGGACAGAGGUGUCAGAAGAAACCGAUCCAUCAACAUCUUGAUCUCCGACUUCCAGCAGACAUCACUGACAAAAUGUCUGUGUUGUUUGGAAUACCCAGUCUGUGUUUCUUUGUUGAGGCAUCUCUAGCAAACAGCCACUAGCAACUACCCACAAGCUGUACUGGUGGGCAUUGAAAGAUGUUCUUUCUAGACUUCACGACUCUUGCAUAUCCAUCCCCUCAUUCCUCAGACAGACCUGCUAAGCAAGGAGUAAGUUGUCCAAUCACAUGUGAAGCUCUUCCAGCUUCCUCUUUUCACUCUUUAGAAGACCCAUCUUGGUGAAAGUUUUUUCAGUUCUAAACACCCCUUUACUGAUGAACCUCUACUGCCCUUCAUUACACUUCAAAAACUAAAUCCAAAUUAUCUUCCUUGAGCUGCAAGAGACUGAGAAGAUUCACCCUGGCAUAGUCCUGUGACUCCCUGGAGAACCACCCACUCCUCCACUUGGCCUGUGGGGCUCCAGGCUUUGAGACGUUCCUAGAGUUCUAGCCUGCUUUGUUUAUGAAAGACACCUUCUCUGAAGGACUUCUAAAUAUAAUGUCUGCUUUCCCACCACGUUAAUUUUUCUGCUCCAAGUCUGUCACCCUUCAUCAUGACUUGUCACUACCUAUUUUUCCACUGUUAAAAUAUUGGAGGGUUUUCUUGCCAUUUCUCUUCCCAAGUCCAAUUUUUGAAGGAACAUAUGAUCCAUGAAGCAUCUUUUCUGAUGUGUUCAUUGUCUGAUCCUGCAUUCUUUUUUUUAAACAUAAUAUUUUUAUUGAUUAUAAGGCAAUUUCACAUAAUGUACCCUGAUCACCCCUAGUUGUCAGUCCCCACAGGUCUGUCCCCCUCAAAAAAAAGAUUACCCUCUUUAUUUAUUUAUUGUGUUCCAUCAUGAGCUCGCAAAGAUAUUUGUUCACUGUUAUAUUCUGUUAAUUAUGCUGAGUAUGUGCAGUGAUUCAAGAUACAACGCAUCUUAUAAGGACAUCAGAAUCAAACAUACAAGUUGCCAAGCAACCGGGAAAUCCAUUGACCUGUUUUGGAGUAUUGGGAAAGGUAGUGAGAUUGUCCAUCAACAAGUAAGAAUGAGUACCAAUUGGAUUAUGAGGUGGGUGGUGGGCAGAGCCUAGUGAAGCAAAUAUGAGGUGUUUUCAAAUUUGCAUCUUCAUGAUUUGGUUCAACAUAAAUUUUCUCAAAUUAGAGGACACAUUUCUUCAGAAAGAAAAAUGAAGAAAGGUGGCCAGGAGUUUCUCUCAUUUGCAUGUUGCUUUGCUUUUUAAGAAGUAAACAUCACCUACGAUGCAUGAAAUACUCUUUCUCAUGGCUGACUGUGGAAACGCUUCUCUAGAAUGAAGGGGAAAACCUCAGGAAUUAUGGUGAGCCCCAAAGCUGGCAUUACAUAAUUCCCUGAGCCCUCCCUCUGCUGCAGAGUUCUGAAAUAGCGUCCCCGGGGGUGGGUGGUGCAGCUGUCUAAUAGCUGCAGAGGAGAUUGAUUCACAUUUGUUUCUGCUUUGCCACAUUAUCUUGGGAGAGGAGGGUUAGUUGACAGCAUCGCAACUUAAAGGCUUGAUUUUAAGCUGUACUUAAAGGCCCUUCUUGUGCACCACAGCUCUGCAGCUUUGAGACAACACCUGUGCUGAGGACCCACCUGCCUCCAGGGGACUGUUCCUCUGGCAGAGCUCACCUGACAGGACUUGGGUAUAGCCUCUGCAGCUGCUUCUCUUCCAUUUGGUUCCAUUGUUUGAAUCACUUUUGCUUGUGUAUAUGUAGAGUCCUGAAUUCCUGGCUUGCUUGAUACUUGUUAGAUAUUGAUACUGAAUAUCUACAAACCUGGAACAAGAAGACAAAUUUCCAGGGAAAGGUGACCUCACCAUAACUAAGACCAUGGUGUCUGAACAGGAACGUAUUAGAGAAACACCCAUGCCUCUGUGUGUGCACACUACAAUUUACACACAAGCCAUUUCCAUACAAGACAUCUAUGGGUUGUAGUACAGGAACACACACAGAUUUGUAUGCUCACAGUAGAAUUUGCAGCCCAGUGACUACCUGUCCUAGACAUCCAUGUACUAUAGCCCAAGACAGGUGCCCCAGCCCCCUGAAGGUGCCUUCUUUUAUACUUUGUGUAAAUGUGUGCACAUGUGUAUGUCUGUGCAUGUGUGUGUGUGUGUGUGUGUGUGUGUGUGUGUGUGUGUGUGGUGUGUGAUGUAUGCCAUGUGUGGGAGUGCCCACAGAGGCAGAGAUGGCAUUGCUUUGAGCCCUAGAGCUGAAGUUAUAGGCAUUUGAGAGCCUUCAGACGUGAGUGCUGAAACCAGACAAAGAUCCUCUGGGAAGCAGUGAGACCUCUUAACCACUGCCCCAUCUCUCCAGCACCUAUGAAGCCUUCUCCUAAAUGUAAAAGGAAAUUUCAAGAAAACAGCAUUUAAAAAAAAAAAAAAUCCUUAAUUUAUGAUGUGCAACAACAGUUAACAACACUAGCGAAAGCUCUAAACAAAGAAACUGAGAACCGACAAAUUGCAGGCCUCAGAACACCAAAUUUGUUAAUAUCCUUGUUUGCAAAAAUAGUGAUACUUCAAGAAAGCUCUGAAGUUCUGAACAGCCACAACAGCUUUGAGUUGUUCCCAUGGUUUGUCCGCAAACUAAAGCUUAUGCUUAUCGGGUUAGAAGACACGUAAUUCUUCAUUUGUCUUCGUACAUGUCUUUCUUCCAUGAGUCAUUCCUUCUUUGACAAGGCUGAAACUCUGGCUACUAUUUUUAUUACCUUGAAUUGUUUCGUGCUGUUUGUUAGAUAGAUUUUAGGUGAAUUUUGCUCCCAAUCUUCUUUGUAGCAACUGAAUAGUUCGUUUUACACAGAAAUGAAAAUGUCAAGAGCGUGACUCUCAAGACUUUCCUUUCUCGAUGGAUGUUCUUGUGCGGAAGUUUCUUUCAGUUAGUUUUCCAUUGUUCGGAAGCACCAGUCAGUGUGGUUUCUAAGUUGCUUUUAUUCUUUAGACCUUCUCUUUACUUUCUAGGGGUUAAUUCAUUUUAAAAUAUAUAAUACUCUCACUAAUUCUUUGAGACUGUCAUACAAACUUACAAUGUACUUUGAUCAGAUUCACCCCAACUCUUCCCCUACUUCCUCCCAGAUCUACCCUCCAUCCCCACCCCUCCCCGGUCUCAUAUCUUUGUUUUCUUUUUUUUUUAUAACCCAUAGCUUCCAAUUAGUGCUUCUCAUAUGUUCAUGGUUGUGGGGCUAUCCACCCAGGCACGGCUGACCUGCUUUAUAUUGAACUUACCGAGAGUCCCCCCAUGGUUACAGGUAGAAUUUAUUCAAAUCAAUAGGAGGCAUUUACGAAGGUUUUGGAAAUGGAUUUUGAAAGGGAAUUCAUUUAGCAAACAUUUCUGAGUGAGUAAUCCUUAUGAUUUCUGUAGUUCCCAGCAUAGCUCCUUCAAUUGCCUCUGCGUUCAUCCACCCGUUUCAGGGAGCAGUAUGGACUUGAUUUUUGCUCCACUCUAAUUUCCCCAAUUUGUCAUCGUCCUUAGUCCCUGGAGUGUAUCGGGACAUGACGUGACAUGCGACAGAAGAAUUGUGAAAGGCAAGUCGAAGGCAGUGGAAAGUUAUUUAAUCAGAGAGUGCUUUUUCAUUCCGACGUGAACAGAGCCAAAGGCAAUCACGGAAGGCCUGCACUUAACCUGGGAAGGAUUAGGAGAAUAAUUCUCUUUUCCAUGAAAUCUUUUGUUGCCUUUGUGCUUCUGGUAUUACUAGAAGACAUUUUUAUGUGUGAUUUUCAGAAGUGGUGAGGUACAGGACAAUGAUGGGAAACUCAGCUGAUAAUCAUCCUUUGAUAAAGGAGCUCUUUUGCUCACUUGAGCUGAAGAAUGAAUGGGUAUUAUAAAGACUGAAUCGUUUGAUACCUUGAAAUUUCUGUUCAGUUCUAAUAUUCCUUUUUCAACUUUCUGGAGAAAGUUUAAACUUGUACUAGUAACUCCUUAAAGUGGAAAUGAAAUAAAACAAAGAGCCCCCAAAUACAAUCAUUAGCCUCAUAGAAACUUUAGUGUUAAUUUAAAAUUCAGUUUCUGUAUUUCAUAUGUAAAGUCUGACACAGGAUAGAGAGUCUCUAAAAAACGCAAAUGAGAAUUCUCAUAUUUGGUUUUAAAAUAUGGCUUGUAAUGUUCAUUCAUGAGCCACAUUUUUAUUUGGUAUCUUUUUCAUUUCAGACAUGGGUCUGGGCAGUAGUGACACAAAGGAAAAUAAAUAAAGCCCAGUUCCCACUCAGCGUUACAUAGCAUUGAAGUGGACGGAGGGAAGACCAGAACCCUGUGU